CCUACGGGGGGCAGCAGUGAGGAAUAUUGGUCAAUGGGCGGAAGCCUGAACCAGCCAAGUCGCGUGAGGGAUUAAGGCCCUGCGGGUCGUAAACCUCUUUUGCCGGGGAGCAGAGGUCCGGACGUGUCCGGGCCGGGAGAGUACCCGGAGAAAAAGCACCGGCUAACUCGGUGCCAGCAGCCGCGGUAAUACGGAGGAUGCGAGCGUUAUCCGGAUUUAUUGGGUUUAAGGGGUGCGUAGGCGGGCAUUUAAGCCGGCGGUCAAAUGUCGGGGCUCAACCCCGGCCUGCCGUCGGAACUGGGUGCCUUGAGUGGGCUAGAAGUAUGCGGAAUGCGUGGUGUAGCGGUGAAAUGCAUAGAUAUCACGCAGAACCCCGAGUGCGAAGGCAGCAUACCGACGCCCUACUGACGCUGAGGCACGAAAGUGCGGGUAUCGAACAGGAUUAGAUACCCGGGUAGUC
rnacentral:rRNA from 1 species